rnacentral:rRNA from 1 species
UACGUAGGGUGCAAGCGUUAUCCGGAAUUACUGGGCGUAAAGCGCGCGUAGGCGGCUUUGCAAGUCGAGUGUGAAAUCCCCAGGCUUAACCUGGGAACUGCAUUCGAGACUGCAUAGCUAGAGUAUGGGAGAGGGAAGUGGAAUUUCAGGUGUAGCGGUGAAAUGCGUAGAUAUCUGAAGGAACAUCAGUGGCGAAAGCGACUUCCUGGACCAAUACUGACGCUCAUGUGCGAAAGCGUGGGGAGCAAACAGG